CCUACGGGUGGCUGCAGUGGGGAAUAUUGGACAAUGGGGGGAACCCUGAUCCAGCCAUGCCGCGUGUGUGAAGAAGGCCCUCGGGUUGUAAAGCACUUUCAGUGAGGAAGAACGCCUGGUGGUUAAUACCCAUCAGGAAAGACAUCACUCACAGAAGAAGCACCGGCUAACUCCGUGCCAGCAGCCGCGGUAAUACGAAGGGUGCGAGCGUUAAUCGGAAUUACUGGGCGUAAAGCGCGCGUAGGUGGCUUGAUAAGCCGGUUGUGAAAGCCCCGGGCUCAACCUGGGAACGGCAUCCGGAACUGUCAAGCUAGAGUGCAGGAGAGGAAGGUAGAAUUCCCGGUGUAGCGGUGAAAUGCGUAGAGAUCGGGAGGAAUACCAGUGGCGAAGGCGGCCUUCUGGACUGACACUGACACUGAGGUGCGAAAGCGUGGGUAGCAAACAGGAUUAGAUACCCGAGUAGUC
rnacentral:rRNA from 1 species